CUUCAGUGACCGCCGGCAUGUCUCGAAAGACAUAUCUUUGAGGUCUGUGACUUGCUCGGAGUUGCUGUGCUUCAUGCAUCCAUGUAGUCCUCUAUGAGAGUAUCCCUCCGGUCCAAAUAGUCAUGUCCAUGAUUUUGAGUUGCUGUGCAGCUGUGCUUCAGACAUCCAUGCAGUCCCCUAAGGGAUCGCCAUCCAGGUCCAUUUUUCGUCAAAUUGUUGCGCCCAUGCUUCGAGUGUGUGUGCAUCAGGCAACCAUGUAGUCUUCCACGGGAUCACCCCCAUGUCCAUUCAAAAUGUCGUGUCCAUGCUCCAAACUGCUGUGCUUCAUGCAAUCGUCUUACAAUGAAAAUAAAAUAUAAAAAACGAGACAUAUGUUUGGUUAUCAAUC